rnacentral:misc_RNA from 1 species
AAAAAAAAAAAAAAAAACCUGACCCUACGUAUUUAGUAUAUGAUCAAAAUUCAUAACAUGGAAAUGGAAGCCUAAUACAUUACACAUGGUAUGGCUUCUGAGUUCUGUUCCUGCCGUGCUGAUCCAGGAUUUAUGAUCUGUUUGGUACUGCUGUGGAAGUUAUUAUUGAAAAAAAAUAGCUUCUAAAUAUAUUGGUUUAAAUAUAUUGGUUAGAUGUAUUAAAAAUUGCUUUAAAAUAAAAUUUGACAUGAUUUAGUAUAAAAACUCUAAAAUAAUUAAACAAUUUUUUCUAAAUUGCUCUUUUCAAAGCCAUUUUUUGACUUAUCGACCUAAGAGCUCCAAAUAGGUUCUCAAACAUAGAGAGAGAGAAUGCUGCAACAGACAUAUGUUAAGUUGUACAGGAGACAUAACCAUUUUCAUCCACACAUUAACCAAAGUUUGAACAGGAUUCAACACUUGAUCACUAGUCCCACUUCAUGUCCUUCCCACCAGCACUGCCUCCUCAAUCUUGGGACUUGGAAUGGAGUUCUAUUCUCAAGCCACAAUUUGUUAGAAUGAGAUACCCGAGGAUCAUCAAAAUGUAUAUUAUACAUCAAAGUAUAUGACCCAAUCAUAUUUGAUCUGCCUCCUGCAAUUGCUUUGAUUUACCAGAAAAGUAGUAUCAUGUAAAUAAAUCAUAGGAAACACAUCAAUCAAUCAGUAGUACAAUUAUGGAGGAAUGCAUCAGUCCUUCAU